ensembl:lncRNA
CACCUCUCAAUGGAAAAUCGAAUUAGCGUCCCCAAGUACAGGUCGACCAAGACAAAGGCAAAAUAAACGGGCAGACAAAGGGGCUGUGUGGGAACCGAGCCGCCCAGCUCUGCUCUGCCACACAGCUCCGUGCCCACUGCCACUGCAGCGGUGCAGAGGAGCAGCACUGCUUCACUUCUGCCUUUGAAACCACAGCAAGCACGAUGCAAACCAAACCACGGGUACCGAAGAUGUCCAAAGAGGCAGGCUGACUCUCCUGCCCUCGAAGACAGGUUUGGCUCCACGAGCAGGGCAUCGUGUGACUCCUGGAAUACAUUCUGUCUCAUACAUAGCCACUACGUGGUCUCCCCCCCCCCCCCCAAAUACACACAAUAGAGACUCUAAUCAGCAUGGUCUUGCAUAGAGAUUUUAAUAGCUGAGAAAAACGCAGUUGCAGUCACAUGUUCACUGGCCUGUUGUAACUAUUUCAAUUACCAAAGCAAAUGACCACAAUUUAAAUGUGCUGAUAAAGGGGAAGCUCAUUUACAGUGUGUAUAUAAGAAUAUCAUUAUUAGCUACAUAGACCCCUGUUCACAGCUGCAUGGGAAUUUUACCAGCGUGUAAAGUAUCUCCAUUUGGUGUAUGCUAUGGUACAGUCCUCAUGAUUAAAUUUCUGCCUUUCAAGCAAAAAAUCACCAAUAACACCUGCUGCUGCAUUGACUGGUCCAAUACGGACUUACCAAUGACUCCCAAUAGUGAGUCAUCAAACUCAAUUUGCUUCAGCAUGCAAAAAAGCCCCCUGUAUUUUAGCACCUUCUACUCACAGCGGUGAGAGAUGACACCUAAAAGAACUCCGGCCCUGGUAUGGUGUGCACUAACACCAGCAAAGCUGUCUGAUUUACAUCAAGAAACAGAUGUCCCUCAAGUGAUCUUGAGAUUUUCAGCACUUGGUAUAUUUGCCCUUGCUUCUAUCCACAUCCAGCCAGCACUGGACUUGGCUAUUACUGUCCAACAGACUUACUGAUGCAUUGGAUAUCUGCUUCAAGGUUUCAAAAUGCCUGGAUACACCAACAGGUACCAAAGAAUUAAAGGGCUUUGUAGCCCAUGGUUGUGUUGUCCAUUUUUGUUGGGAAUGACACGAGAAAUACACUGAGCAGCACACUGUAUUAAACUGCAAAGAAAGCUAAAAUUACUUUAGAAAAGCCUCAUUUCGUGAUCAAGGCCUCAAUGUUUUGCAUCAUUCUCUCACAUGCUUUCUGGUUCAGGUUCCUUCCACCACUUAGUCUGGCACGCAAACACAUUAAAACCCUCUUUUGAUAGGAGGAGUCCAAGAAGGACACUGUGCUUAAGACUUCAUGGGCUGUCUUUUUAAUAUAUAUUAGCAAGAUGACGGAUACCCUGAGUGGACCAGUCAGGGAAAGCAAACGAAGACAAGAAAUAUUCUCAGGGUGUUAUUGAUUAUCUGUUUUUCAGAGCAGAGGGAAUCGUUUUUAACUGGUUUAAACUAUGAUGGACUCAAGUGGAAAACGCAAGGAGAGUUAGCGAGGAGCAUAAUUGACUGGGCAUGGAACUCAGUAACCUCUCAGCACGCUGGAAGUGGUGGAGCAGAGGGGUUACGGCCAGGGCUGCUCCGCACCCACAGCCCUUUCUUCCCAAAGUGAACUCCGCCAGCAGCCAAAGACGGCAAUGACAACAAGUAAAGGGAGGGGGGAAAAAAAGGGGGGGAGGGGGGGGGAAGGGUCCAGCCACUCAGUUACAUGAUCUAAAUUCUAAUCAAACAUCAUUUAAAGCAUGUUUUAUUUCAGCCUCUGGAGAGAUAGUCCCUCCUGACUCCUCACCAUGGCAACCGGUGUCUCAUUUCAGAAGUGUCAUGCCACAUUAUCAUCUUGCCGGCUCACACACUCCUGCCUGACAAGUUCUCUCUGCCCCUUGUGACAACCAUUCCAGGCUUAUGCUGUUUAUUUUUGGUGUCAGGCUGGCCCUGGCAGAUUGAAAGGCAACCUCAACCCCUUGAACAACAAGCACCACACCCCACUUGGCGAUAAGAGAUGAUUUGAGAAGAUAUUUGCUUACAUGUGUAUAAGCAAUUUGCUGUAUGAUGAAGCCCCGGUGUGCCUGUGUGAACGCACACGUAUGUGUGCAAAGGGGAAGGAACUGCAGAAGCGUAACAUUUCAUGAGAAAACAAACAAUUCAUUGCGGAUCCCAGGUAGCAGGCUUCAAUCAUCACAUCCCAUCGUACACACAGAACGUGAAACGUGGGCCACAAAGGCACCACGGGUGCUCCCCACAAAGAGAAACAACAGCUAAGCUCGGUCUGUCCCUGCAAAACAGCCUCGCUGUGUCCCUGCAGAGCGCUGUGAGAUGCAGCGGCAGAGGCACCCCAUAGGAGGAAUGGGGACAAAACACGACAGUUCACUGCAGAAACACGCUAGGGCCAGAUUCAUCUCUGCUGUCAUGGAGUCAAUUUGGAACAGCACUGUUGUCAUUGAAUUACUUGGGACUGCCUGCAAUUGGAAUCACAGAACCUUGUCUUCAAGUAGCAGGCUGCGUGCAUCAUGGAGACUUCCUUUUAACUAUCCAAUUUUUACAGCCUGUACAUAAGCAGGACUAUGUCUACAGCUAGGGUUUCUUGGUGUAAGCACAAUUAAAGCUGAUAGUAAUUACAAAAGUAUGUAUUACAUUUGUUUUUAACGCUAAACUUAAGAAUACGGCAGUAUUUGUUUUAUGUUUACUUGGCUGGUUGAGGUGGUGGUGGUAGAGCAGGGCUUCUCUCCACUCCGAGUCAGGGAUAGCAUCCCACCCUCCCACCUCACCAGGCACAGAACAAGCUGCUCCUGGACCAACUGUUCCAUUGCUACCUGUCAGGAGGAAAGCUGCAGGGAAUCGGACAUGAUGUCCGGGUAGCAGCAGCAUGAAGGAGAAAUGAAGGAGCAGGAUGGCAGAUCAACACAGAUUUCAUAUUUACUAUCCAGCCCAGUUAUUGUAGGCUGUGCCUACAGCUGUGCAUUUGAUUUAGUUUACAGGCACUGCUUCAGCCCUGGUAAGAGGUGGGAGUGUGCUUCACCGCGGCAUUUACACAGAUCACAACGUAAACAAAACUUGACCCAACACCUUUUAUGUUAUCUCAGAGAAAGAAUCAUAAACUGAGCAAAAUCCACACCAUUAACUCCAGUGCAGUCUUUGAUCAAAUCGGGAGCUAAAAGGAAAACAGAUUUCCUUAAAAACAAACUAACAAAGCAGUAUGUGCAUUUCAUUUUUAAUCCACUUUCUAGCAACCGCACCAUAGAAAGGCAGAGGCUCACAACAGCAAUGCAUCUGAACACGAAAUAUGGCCAUCCCAAGGCACACUAAUGGCAUCCACAGCGCUGGUAAGAGGGAGCACGGAUGUUUUUACAACUGUAGGAUGGGGAGAAUUACUGUUGAUUAUGGAGCAGCAAUGAAAUGCCACAGUUGUGAGUGAUAAACACAGCAAAUGCUACAGGGGGUCCUCCUGGAAAAGGAAAAAAGGGGAACGUCUCGUCAUGCAGAAAAAUAUCCCAGGAAAAAAGGAUGGAGGUGACGCCUGCGUGGCUGUUACCAACCACGGGCUUCAUUCUGCCCCCAGCUGCACACGUGCAACCCAUCACCAGGUAAGAUUUCUCAGUUUCUAUAGCGAAUGCAGGUGUACACCUAAGGGCAGAUUGUAACUUCCUCUCUCAAACAAAACACAGCGAAUGGAGACGGACUCCCAUUGCAGCAGAACACUGCACAGCCGCUUUGCCCUACAGGAAACACCAUAUGCAUGUCAGCCAGCAGAACCUUCUUACUUCUUCUCGUUAGUACUGUGCAUACGCAACCAGAUGCAAAUAUAUACACUUGCAUGCAUUGCUACUGCCACAUAACCCAGCCUGGGAUAUCCCAUUCCCAAACACCUGAGUACCUACACAGCUCUUCAUGGGUGCAAAGCCUCCAGGACUGCAGCAAUGAAACAGCGGAACAGAACUCACAUUGCCUGCGAGGCCCAUCUAUUCAUCUCUGCCCACAAGACUCCCUCGCACCACUGCAUGCUUUUUAUACUUCAUUAAAGCAAAUCACUGAUGUUCUUCAGCUGACAAACAUCCCCGGAAAGGAUGCAAAGAGCGGCAAGAAUUCGGCUUUGGCAAGCAGAUCUAUUUUCAUCUUACAUUUACAGUUGCUUGUGCAUAUCUAUAUAUCCAUCUGCAUCCCUAUCUUCAUAAAAACCUAACUGCAACAAAAUAAAUGAUAAUAAUUCUGCUGUUUCUGUUUCCGCUCUUCCCCAUCAGAAAGCUGGUAAUAAAACAAGCUCUCUAAAACAGGCAUUACCAACCCAGGCCAUGCAAACAAACACUUCACUGUUUUAUAAUCUCACAUGUCGAAUGAACAUCAUCGUUCCCUUUGGUGCCUUAAAAUAUCGGGUCCAUAAAAUUACUAAAAGGCAGAGCAGCAAUGCUGCCUAACACGCAGCCCACGGGAAGGCUGACAGUGCCCCAUCAGCUUCGCUUGUUGGCAGCUCUGAAUGUGCGUAGCAGUGUUGGUUGGGCAAAGCGCUCACAGAGCACUGUGUGAACACAGCCGGGCCGUGGGAGCAGCACACCACGAGGUGACCCCGAGCCCUGGGGAUGCGGAUGGUGCAGUGUCCCUUUGGCCUUCUGCAGGCGGAAGAUGCCAGCACUUAUCCUAGCUGUGCAGCACAGAGGGCUAAAGGAAAUACCGUGGGACACCAGAUAUGGGCAUUAGAGUGCAAUCCCUUACAGAGCGUGGUCAGUCCACUGCUGUAGUUGGUUUUAAAUAGCACUGUGCACUGCGUGAUGGAUGUUGACAAAACAAAACAACCCCAUAAUUACAAACAAACAAAAAAAAGACCCAAACCCUGAACCGACGUCACUGGUGAAAGACGCAGAAAUGAAAACACAGCACAGAGCAGCUGAGGGCAGGGGCGCCCUGUCCUGCGGGAGCAGCAGCGGAGCGGAGCAGCACCACA